rnacentral:rRNA from 1 species
ACGGGAGGCAGCAGUAAGGGAUAUUGCACAAUGGGGGAAACCCUGAUGCAGCAACGCCGCGUGAGGGAAGAAGGUUCUCGGAUUGUAAACCUCUGUUUUUAGUGAAGAAACAAAUGACGGUAGCUAAAGAGGAAGCCACGGCUAACUACGUGCCAGCAGCCGCGAUAAUACGUAGGUGGCAAGCGUUGUCCGGAUUUACUGGGUGUAAAGGGUGCGCAGGCGGGACUGCAAGUUGGAUGUGAAAUACCGGAACUCAACUCCGGAGCUGCAUCCAAAACUGUAGUUCUUGAGUGAAGUAGAGGUAGGCGGAAUUCCGAGUGUAGCGGUAAAAUGCGUAGAUAUUCGGAGGAACACCAGUGGCGAAGGCGGCCUACUGGGCUUUAACUGACGCUGAGGCACGAAAGCAUGGGGAGCAAACAGGAUUAGAUACCCUGGUA